AGUGAACGCUGGCGGUAGGCCUAACACAUGCAAGUCGAACGGCAGCAUAGUAAGAGCUUGCUCUUACGGGUGGCGAGUGGCGGGUGGGUGAGGAAUAAAUCGGAAUUUACUUUUUCGUGGGGGUUAACGUAGGGAAACUUACGCUAAUACCGCAUACGACCUAAGGGUGAAAGCAGGGAAUCUUCGGACCUUGCGCGAUUGAAUGAGCCGAUGUCGGAUUAGCUAGUUGGCGGGGUCAAGGCCCACCAAGGCGACGAUCCGUAGCUGGUCUGAGAGGAUGGUCAGCCACACUGGAACUGAGACACGGUCCAGACUCCUACGGGAGGCAGCAGUGGGGAAUAUUGGGCAGUGGGCGCAAGCCUGAUCCAGCCAUACCGCGUGGGUGAAGAAGGCCUUCGGGUUGUAAAGCCCUUUUGUUGGGAAAGAAAAUCAGCAGGUUAAUACCCCGCUGUUCUGACGGUACCCAAAGAAUAAGCACCGGCUAACUUCGUG
rnacentral:rRNA from 1 species